rnacentral:rRNA from 1 species
UUUAAUUGAAGAGUUUGAUCAUGGCUCAGAUUGAACGCUGGCGGCAGGCCUAACACAUGCAAGUCGAGCGGCAGCACAAGUAAGUUUACUUAUG